UGUUAAGUGUUGGGGGUGGGGUCUAGGAGUCUGUAUCAAGCUCACCAGAUGGUUUUUUAUAUAGUCAGUUUAAUUGCAGUUUAUAGUUGUGAUUCAGUUAUUUAGGACAGUGUUCUAGAUGCUAUGAAUGUGAGGUCUAAGGGCUAGGUAGGAAGAGUAAAGAUUUGGUAAGCCAGAGUCCAGGUACCAGUGUGUAUGGUAUGUUACUUAAGAGAACUAUCUCUCCUACCCUUACCAAGGGUGAGGCAUUGCACCAGAUGCUGGAUAUGUUGCCCAUCAAGCAAAUCAUUAUACAGUCUGAGAAGUGCUCCAAUAAGUACAGGGUGCUUUGAAGGCUGAUUGGAAGGACACUUAAUCCAGUCACGUGGGAUUGAAGAGGCUUGGGAGUCCUUAAAAGAUUUUAACCAGAGGAGUGGCCUGACCUGAGUGGCAUCACCUGAAAAAUGCUUAUGUGGAGAUACUGGACUGGAGACAGAAUGGUAAGCCAGAGUGAGCUCAUCAGUUCCUCUUUGCCCUCCAGAAGAACUAAUAUUGGCACUGGUGGUGGAAAAUCUCUCCCUCUGCUGGCAUCUUCAGCUGCUUCUUUUAGGGCAGGGGUCCUCAUCAGAGAUCCGUAUUUUCCCUCUCAUACAUGGAAAGCUGUUUGGGAAGAGGAGGGUUCUCUGACAUAUAUAGCCUCCAAAGAAGAGGAAGAAAUUCAGUAACUGCUGGGAUCCCAUCUCAUUUCUAAGUUUCCCUCUUUGAGGAAGAAAGCGAAGUAUUUUCCUGGAUACCAAAUAUGCUGAGUUGGGGCACUAGCUGAAGUAAGAAGUGAGAUGGACCAACAUGAUCUUCAUCCUUAAAUCCUGGUGAACGUUUUUUGCUUUUCAACCCCAAACCACCAAGUUUGCUACAAAGGAGAGACAGAAGAGAACAGGGAGAUUUUAAGUACCAGUCCUGGAAAUGAUAUAAAUGACUUUCAGUUAAACUCCAUGUCCAGAAUGAAGUCACCUGCUCCAAUUUAAUGAUGGAAGUACAGAAAAUAUAGAUCAUCUGUGUGCCCAGGAGGAGAAUGGAAUGGGUUUAACAAAUACAUCACUUCUUGGCCACAAUAUCAAAUGCCAGGUACUGGGCUAUAUUUGGAGGGUGGAAAUGAAGAUGACCCUGCCGUCAGAGGAUUCCUAAUUUAAAGAGGGACUCAAAAAAGCAAAUUAAAGUUGCAAUACAGUGGGAUGGAUGGAAUUUGGUAGCAAUAAGAAGAACUUAAAUGUUCUGUUGCCUGCUGAUAAGUAUGCAGUGCAGCCACUCUGGAAAAGUGUGUGGAGGUUCCUCAAAGAGUUAAAAAUAGAUCUGCCCUACACCCAGCAAUUGCACUGUUGAGGAUUUACCCCAAAGAUACAGAUGCA